GGCGGCGGCGGCGCGGUGUGCGGACUCGCUGCAGUGAGGCUGGAGGAGGUGCUGGGCGGAGUUCCUGGGCGGACUCCUGACGCUUGCUGCAAGUCCUUUAACAACUGGAAGCUAACGGAGAGAACCUUCCUUUUAUGUGUGAAAACGAAGCCCACGUGAUGCCGUGACGGUUUCUUUCCGCCUUUCCUUAACCCCUCACCCCCACCCGCAAGCCCGACUCCCGCCCCUCGCUAAAUAAUUGCGUAAGAGCGGCCGGGGGCUGGAAGUUUUACCCACGCAGAUGAGAGAAUCAGAAACCCAGGAAGCUGCUCUCGGCUUCCCCGAGUAUCUAUUGCUUGGUGGUGGCCGCAGCAAAGUGGAGAAUAAAAAGUUUAAUGAAGCCAUCCAUACAUUCUUAGCAUUGAUGGAAAAGAACAGCAUAAAACUUGAAAUAAAACUACACCAGGUACCGCAAUUUGUAAAAGUCUUCAAGAAGAAAAGCGACUCACGUUUUUAUUUCGCCGUUUUGCUUAAUGUACAUAUUAUGUGAUUCUACAUGAGACACAAAUGACUAAAAUUCCAUUUCAUCCCGGAAGCUUUUCCUCUAGUCAUAUUUAAUCAUUCCAUUUUUGACACUCCCACUUACUGUACUGAGUCUUAUGUGAAAUAAGAGCAUAGAUUUUAAAAAAUUUUAAUCCAAUUUUUUUGUUUCAUUUUAAACGAGUAGGUUGUAUCUACUCAAAUUUUAAAUUGAUUUUUGGGACUACUAAUUCAAGCUUGGUGAGAUGCCAUGUAAGAAUCCAUUUUCCGACUCUGAUAGUGUACUAAAAUUUUACAUUGUAAUCCUGAGUUCAUUUUGAAGUUGAGUAUCAUCAUCCUCCUCCUCAUCAGAUCUUAUUCGUAUACCUACUAUGUAUGAAGUGUAUUCUGUUGUUUGCCAAGACUGAAUUCAAAAGCGAAGACAAAAGAGGGCAUGGAGAAUAAUCACAUUUUAGACUACUUGGAUCUUAAAGAAAUUCCAAUCUGUUUCAUAGUGGAAAUUCAAUAAAAAACAUCUGUUCUGCUUGGUUUGACUUGUAAAUUCUGUAGCCUGCUAGAGUGGAGAGAGUUCUAUGUACUUACGGAGUUAGAAAAAAUUUAAGGAGAAAAUGACACUUUGAGUCAUCUAGAAGGGAAGUCCAGUUUAGAAAGGAAGCCCAAGUAUGGGCAUGAGGAAGAGCUAUUGUGACAGGACUUAUUAAAUAAUUUUGACAAAUCCGAGACAAUAAAAUAGAAUGAUAGUACAUUUUGAGAUGCUGGUCAUUGGGGGUAGAUAUUAAAUGUCUCAAAGCAAAUCAAAAUGGCUAAACCUGUUUAUUUGGAAAAGUAUUAUGAUUAUUAUGUCAUGAUGUAUCACCAUAAAUAAUUUUUGAUUAUGUAAAAUUUAUAACUCGCUUUUGUAUAUCUUUAGUGUGCUGUGUGUAUUUUAGGUAAAUGUGUGCAUGUGCUGUAUAAAAUUUAUUAGUCUCUGAAAUUUGUCGGUAAAUUGACUGUUUGAAAGGAAAACAAGAAAACAUAUUAAAAACAUUCGAGUA